ensembl:lncRNA
CUGAGGACUUCGCAGGCCAAAGAAAGCCUCCAGAGUAGCUGCAAUAGCUGAGAUGACAGGCGUGCGCCACUGCACCAGUGUGCUUGGGCUUGGAAAGCCAACAUGUCUUCUGCAUUGAGGGCCUCCUCUCAGAGCACACACCCCUCAACCUCCUGAGAUACAGAGUCAAGCCUGGCAGGUGACCAGAGAGCAGCUCAACAUGCCAAGUCUUCCAUGUAAUCCUCUAAGUGGCUAUAACCAGAAGAAAAAAAUCUCCACAGACCUCCUCAACUGUAUCUCCUGAUCAAAAAAUUUUUUUCCAUUAUAGACUUUAAAAUACAACCUACGGCC